rnacentral:rRNA from 1 species
CUCGCUGUUGGCGAUAUACUGUCGGCGGCCAAGCGAAAGUAUUAAGUGGUGCACCUGGGGAGUACGCCGGCAACGGUGAAACUCAAAGGAAUUGACGGGGGCCCGCACAAGCGGUGGAGCAUGUGGUUUAAUUCGAUGAUACGCGAGGAACCUUACCAGGGCUUAAAUGUAGUAUGACCGGCUUAGAAAUAGGCCUUCUCUUCGGAGCAGAUUACAAGGUGCUGCAUGGUUGUCGUCAGCUCGUGCCGUGAGGUGUUAGGUUAAGUCCUGCAACGAGCGCAACCCCUAUUCUUAGUUGCCAGCGGUUCGGCCGGGGACUCUAAGAAGACUGCCAGCGCAAGCUGAGAGGAAGGUGGGGAUGACGUCAAAUCAUCACGGCCCUUACGUCCUGGGCUACACACGUGCUACAAUGGUAGAGACAGAGGGCAGCCACCUGGUGACAGGGAGCGAAUCCUUAAACUCUAUCUCAGUUCGGAUCGAAGUCUGCAACUCGACUUCGUGAAGCUGGAAUCGCUAGUAAUCGCGCAUCAGCCAUGGCGCGGUGAAUACGUUCCCGGGCCUUGUACACACCGCCCGUCAAGCCAUGGAAGCUGGGGGCACCUGAAGUCGGUAACCGUAAGGAGCCGCCUAGGGUGAAACUGGUAACUAGGGCU